rnacentral:rRNA from 1 species
UACGAAGGGGGCUAGCGUUGUUCGGAAUUACUGGGCGUAAAGCGCGCGCAGGUGGUCUUUCAAGUCAGUGGUGAAAGCCCGGAGCUCAACUCCGGAAAUGCCAUUGAAACUGUAAGACUUGAGGAUGAGAGAGGUGAGUGGAAUUCCCAGUGUAGAGGUGAAAUUCGUAGAUAUUGGGAAGAACACCGGUGGCGAAGGCGGCUCACUGGCUCAUAUCUGACGCUCAGGCGCGAAAGCGUGGGGAGCAAACAGG